rnacentral:lncRNA from 12 species
AUGUUAGUUUCUAAGACUCUGCGGGGCAGUCCUGGAACCGAGGAACUGGGAGGUGACCUGGAACGCAGGAACCACCUUCCUCAUGGGGAGGAAGGCCCGCCUCCUCCUCCUCCUCCCUCCCCUCCCCCCGCGAUGCUGGGAGGACCCCAGCGCUCAGCGCUCCAUCGCGGCUCCCAGAACACCCUCCUUUCCUUUCCAUCUUCACCGUUUCCUUGGAAGUGCACCUCCCCAUCUGCCCCCCCCAUGUGCGCGCCAGCAGCCCAACACCUGCCCGGCGGCCCCGCGGAGGGCGUCCUUGUGCCCCGGGGCACCACGGCCGGAGGUCACCGCAGCCCCGAGGGCACCGCGGCCCGAGGUCACCGCAGCCCGAGGUCACCGCAGCCCGAGGUCACCGCGGCCCGAGGUCACCGCGGCCCGAGGUCACCGCAGCCCGAGGUCACCGCAGCCCCGAGGGCACCGCGGCCCGAGGUCACCGCGGCCCGAGGUCACCGCAGCCCCGAGGUCACCGCGGCCCGAGGUCACCGCGGCCCGAGGUCACC